rnacentral:misc_RNA from 1 species
GGACCUCUCGAAAGAGUGGUCC